GGGAAGAUGGCCGAGUGGUUAAGGCGCUGUGUUUAGGUUAUUGAUUCUCAUCUUUACCGCAGUUCGAAAGAGCCUGGGUUCAAGUCCCAGUCUUCUCA